GCAGCGGUGGUUCAGUGGUAGAAUUCUCGCCUUCCGUGUAGGAGACUCAGGUUUGACUCCUGGCCAGGGCA
rnacentral:tRNA from 1 species